GGGGAGGCCGGAUCCUGGGCUGUGUCCCGGCGCCCUGUGCUCCGGAGCCUGCGCUGUUGGAUUCGCGCUCCCGGGCCGCGCAGCCCCCU
rfam:Canis lupus familiaris chromosome 2, whole genome shotgun sequence.